rnacentral:rRNA from 1 species
UGGGGAAUUUUGGACAAUGGGCGCAAGCCUGAUCCAGCCAUUCCGCGUGCAGGACGAAGGCCUUCGGGUUGUAAACUGCUUUUGUACGGAACGAACAGCCUCUCUCUAAUACAGGGGGUUGAUGACGGUACUGUAAGAAUAAGCACCGGCUAACUUCGUGCCAGCAGCCGCGGUAAUACGAAGGGUGCAAGCGUUACUCGGGAUUACUGGGCGUAAAGCGUGCGCAGGCGGUUUUGUAAGACAGAGGUGAAAGCCCCGGGCUCAACCGGGGAACUGCCUUUGUGACUGCAAGGCUGGAGUGCGGCAGAGGGGGAUGGAAUUGCGCGUGUAGCGGUGAAAUGCGUAGAUAUGCGGAGGAACACCGAUGGCGAAGGCAAUCCCCUGGGCCUGCACUGACGCUCAGGCACGAAAGCUAGGGGAGCAAACA